UUCUUGUUUAGCUUCUGGAGUAUCUGUUUACGAUAAUUAUAGCAACACUAAGGAAUUUUGAAGAAUAUACCUCUUAUAGAGAACAAAGUAAUAGGGAAGUCGAUUAUGCUUGUCAGACCCAAAAUUAAUUUACGAAUGGAAAAGAACUUAUUUUUUACAAUUGUGACAGGAGCGACACCAGAGGAUUUAAUUGCUCAUGUAAAAUGAGAAAUAUUAAGUCUGGAGAAAGCAGAUGCAUCAAGGCUAACAUGCCCCUCAAGAAUUUUAGUUAAUGUUUUAAAGAAUAGUAAUAACAUUGCAUUAAUUUUUAUAUUCCUAGACUAAUUCAUAAUUUUAAUACUUUGUAGCAUCAGUUGUGAUUAGAAGUGCUAGUUUACAGACCAAGCUUGAUGGAUUUAGUUUCUUCUCUACCAUUUUAGUUUUAAGUUGUUGAUAUAAUAUAAUAUAAUACA